AGGAAUAUUGGUCAAUGGACGCAAGUCUGAACCAGCCAUGCCGCGUGCAGGAAGACGGCUCUAUGAGUUGUAAACUGCUUUUGUACUAGGGUAAACGCUUCUACGUGUAGGAGCCUGAAAGUAUAGUACGAAUAAGGAUCGGCUAACUCCGUGCCAGCAGCCGCGGUAAUACGGAGGAUCCAAGCGUUAUCCGGAUUUAUUGGGUUUAAAGGGUGCGUAGGCGGUUUGAUAAGUUAGAGGUGAAAUACCGGGGCUCAACUCCGGAACUGCCUCUAAUACUGUUGAACUAGAGAGUAGUUGCGGUAGGCGGAAUGUAUGGUGUAGCGGUGAAAUGCUUAGAGAUCAUACAGAACACCGAUUGCGAAGGCAGCUUACCAAACUAUAUCUGACGUUGAGGCACGAAAGCGUGGGGAGCAAACAGGAUUAGAUACCCUGGUAGUCCACGCAGUAAACGAUGAUAACUCGUUGUCGGCGAUACACAGUCGGUGACUAAGCGAAAGCGAUAAGUUAUCCACCUGGGGAGUACGUUCGCAAGAAUGAAACUCAAAGGAAUUGACGGGGGCCCGCACAAGCGGAGGAACAUGUGGUUUAAUUCGAUGAUACGCGAGGAACCUUACCCGGGCUUGAAAGUUAGUGACGAUUCUGGAAACAGGAUUUCCCUUCGGGGCACGAAACUAGGUGCUGCAUGGUUGUCGUCAGCUCGUGCCGUGAGGUGUCGGGUUAAGUCCCAUAACGAGCGCAACCCCUACCGUUAGUUGCCAUCAGGUCAAGCUGGGCACUCUGGCGGGACUGCCGGUGUAAGCCGAGAGGAAGGUGGGGAUGACGUCAAAUCAGCACGGCCCUUACGUCCGGGGCUACACACGUGUUACAAUGGUAGGUACAGAGGGCCGCUACCCCGCGAGGGGAUGCCAAUCUCGAAAGCCUAUCUCAGUUCGGAUCGGAGGCUGAAACCCGCCUCCGUGAAGUUGGAUUCGCUAGUAAUCGCGCAUCAGCCAUGGCGCGGUGAAUACGUUCCCG
rnacentral:rRNA from 1 species